AUUUCUAUAGUUGAAUAACAAGGUGGAUUUUUCGGGUCGGAGGUUCAAGCAAAUUUGAUGGAAAUU
rnacentral:tRNA from 1 species